AUAAAAUAUUUACUCACGAAUUAAAGUAACAUGUUGAGAAAAAUAGUAACUUAAUAAAACAAAAAAGUAUAUUAAAUAAAAUUCAAAUCUAAUUUUUUUUGGGGAAAUCUGAAUGAACUACAACUAAAAAAGUUAACAAAUACUGAUAUUUCAAAACAAACAAAAUAAAAUCGUGCACAAGCAAAUAUUGUCUAGAAAAUCAUAUCAAAUGAAAUAGGCCCAAAUAUCGAAAAAUAAAUUUUUACUUUAAAAAAAUAGAAAAUAAAUAAAAGUUUGAGAAAACAAAUUCAUUUUUGAGAAAUCAUCAAUCUCUCUCUUCGGCUCUCUCUACAUCUCUCUGCCCCUUUUAUUCUCAUCAACCUUUAGUCGAAUCCCCUCUCUCAACUCCCACUUUUCUCUCUUCAUUCCACCACCGGUUUCCCUUCCUUCCACUCCCUUUGCUGGGAAUACUAGCUACUGGAUUUGGAGGAAGAGGAAUUCCUGAUGAAGAGCCUAUUUAAACCAAUUAUUCUUUUGUAGGGAUGAUUUUACUGUCUUAUAUAAACUGCACCAAAUUUUUUUGUAAUAAAAGUUAUAUUGGUUAUUUUCCAGGGCAAACCAUAAAUUUUUCCCACUCUUGAAAUGACAAUUGAUUAUGUUAUCCAUUUUGGAGGCUCUGUACUUCUACUCUAUAAAGAUCAACUUAAUUUGUGUCCUCAUCUUAAAAGGUAAGGGAAAGAAAAGCUUGAGCAGCUAUGAGUUGGAGAGCUUUCGUGGUGGGGUGUACAUGUGCAGUUGCUCAUCCACCACAACCAAUGGUAUCUCAGAAGAAUUAGGGUUGUACCCCUUAUUUUGUCGCUUAGGUCGACCGGUUGUAACUUUUGAUGUAUAUACACCCUUUAAACAGUUAUUUGUAAUAUUUUUGGAUCUCAUGUAUGUAUGAAACUUUUUAAGUGAAAAGUCAACAGUUCCUUUGACAAAAAAUUUUAACCCUAACCCUCGACGUUAACCUUAGUUACACGUUUAUAACCAAAUGACUUGAUUAGCAAGUCUAACACUAUUUAAAGUACACAGUGUAACGGUCUUGGAUUAGGAGGACACUACAACUUGGUAUCAGAGUUGCCAAGGUUUAAGGGUUCCUGAAGACUGGCCGGACAUGUACACUCGCCACUAAAGACAAGCUCGACUUAGGGUUUAGUAACUAUAUAUGUGGUUAUGUGUCUAACUGCUUAAAUAUGAUAUAAAUGUCUUAUCUGCAUGCAUGUUUAGGAAGCGUGAGAUAAUCUGAUAAGGCCUGGCCCUUGACUAUUGGAUGAAUGAUAAAGAACGUGCUUAUUAGCAUUGCUAUUUGCUGAUUAAUAUCAGAAAGUGCUUAUUAGCACCAUGAUUGAGUAUAUUAUGUGUUGGCAUGCUUAUUAGCAUUGCAUUCGUUUGUUUGUCUAUUUGAUCCUGGACUGUUAGGUGGCAAGAUGUUUAGUUAUUACUUACCUAACGACCAAUUUGAUCACUGCAGAGUGGGUUAGAUAUUAGUUUGAUUCCUCGAAGGUCAGAGAGGUUGGUUGGCCAAGAGACACAUGCCAGGGAAGAGAAUAAUCAAGGCCAGGCCCCACCGCCAGUUCAAGAAAACUGGCAACAAGUGCUUGUUGGUAUGCAAGCCAGAUUAGAGAGGCAGGAAGAUGAGAUCCGCCUCUUGAGACAACAACAGGUUCCAGCAGGGAACCCAUAACUCGCCGUACCGACAGUGUCACAGCCAGAGGUACCAGUAGUAGUAUAGCCUCAGGCAAAGGGAGAUAGAUGUGAACCCCUGUAUGAGAGGUUCAGGAAGCAGCACCCUCCAGUUUUUGAGGGAAGCUCAGACCAACUGAAGGCUGAGCAAUGGAUGACCAUGAUAACCACUAUCCUAGAUUUUGUGACGGUGGUAAUGAGAGAGUGGCCUGUGCCACUUACAUGUUUCGGGAGGAUGCCCGAAUAUGUUGGGAGGUGGUAUCUCAGACCAGAGGAGUAAACAUUAUGGAAUGGGAAGAGUUCAGAACUUUGUUUAACGAGAAGUACUACAACGACGCAGUUAAAGCUGCGAAGGCUAAAGAGUUCAGCAAAUUACUUCAGGGUAACACAAUGACUGAUUUUGCCCUGAAGUUCGACAGAUUGAAAUUUUUUUCGGGGAUCUGGUGCCCACUGAUGGGACCAGAAGAGAAAGGUUUCUCCAGGGGCUACAUUCUAUGAUAGCCCUGGAUGUUCGUAUUACUACUGUGCCAAGAUUGACCACCUAUGCAUAGGUUGUGAAGAGGGCGCUUACAGCUGAGAGCGUAGAGAACAAGAUCUGGCGUGAGAAUGUAGCCAGAAGGAAUUUUAAGAGGUCGAGACCUCCAUUUACAAGCUUUGGUAGGGGCGGAGGCCCCAAUAACCAAAAGAGAAAAACUCUAGAUAUAGUUUCAGCUCCAGAGCCAGAUAGGAGGCCACGGGGCAUACAAAUAGACCGCCAGGGUGGCAGUGAGACCUGGAAAGCAUUCCCAUAAUGUACUCGGUGUAGGAGGUGCCAUAUUGGGGAAUGUCGGGCGAAGGCUUGCUUUUUUUACGAUAGUGUGGGGCAUUUGAAGGAAUGCCCAAGAGCCACAAAGGAAGAGCCCAAGAAGGUGGACAACCUGACGUCAGCUCGGGUGUUCACCUUGACCCAGGCAGAGGCCGAGGCUAGUCCCUCGAUGGUUACAGGUCAGCUUUCUAGUGCUGGAACCUUCUAUGCUGUUUUGAUUGAUUUGGGUGCUACACACUCUUUUGUUGCUAGUAGGAUUAUAGAUGGAUUGUGUAGACCAUGUGACUUUUAUCCUAUGGGGUUUGGUACUAUGCUUCCUACUAGGAAUUAGUAGUUUCCAAAAGAUGGGUUAGAUCACUACCAGUUACAGUGGAUGGCAAAGAAUUGUCAGUUGACUUGGUCGAGUUGGUGAUGACUGAUUUUGAUAUAAUUUUGGGUAUGGAUUGGGUAGAGAAGUAUGGGGCAACGAUAGAUUGCAAGAAGAAGAUGGUAACCUUUGAGCCUGAGGGUGAUGAUCCAUUUUUAUUCGUUGGCACUGUGCAUGGACCCUGUAUACCUAUGAUAUAUGUACUUAGAGCUAGAGACCUAUUGCAGGAGGGAUGCAUAGGGUUCUUAGCUAGUGUGGUGGAUACCACUCAGGUCAUGCCAGUGGGACCAGGACAGACCCGAUUAGUCUGUGAGUUUCUGGAUAUGUUUCCAGAGGAUUUGUCGGGGUUACCUCCACACAGAGAGACACAGUUUGUGAUUUAAUUGGCGCCAGGGUCAGAGGCAGUGUCUAGGGCACCUUAUAGGAUGGCUCCAGCUGAGCUGAAGGAACUAAAUGUUCAAUUACAUGACUUACUAGACUUGGAUUUUAUCAGGCCCAAUUUCUUGCCAUGGGGCUCUAGUUCUCUUCGUGAAGAAGAAAGAUGGUUCUUUGAGGAUGUCUAUCGAUUAUAGAGAACUGAACAAGUUGACUAUCUAGAACAUGUAUUCUCUGCCAAUGAUUGAUGAUUUGUUUGACCAGUUGCAGCAGGACAGUAUUCUCCAAGAUAGAUCUUUGAUCUGGUUAUCACUAGUUAAGGAUUAGGGAAGAGGAUAUACCGAAGACAGUUUUUCGCACCAGGUACAGGCAUUAUGAGUUUUUGGUGAUGUCAUUUGGACUGACUAAUGCCCCAACAACAUUUAUGGAUAUGAUGAACAAUGUGUUCAAAGAUUACCUGGAUCGAUUUGUGAUCGUCUUUAUUGAUGAUAUACUUGUAUACUCCGAGUCAGAGACAGAACACGAGCAGCACCUCAGGUUGGUACUACAGAGGUUGAGAAAACACAGGCUGUAUGCGAAAUUCAAGAAAUGCAAGUUCUGGUUACCACAUGUGACUUUCUUAGGUCACAUAGUCAGUGAGGAUGGAAUUAUGGUGGAUCCAGCAAAGAUUGAGGCGGUCAGAGAUUGGCCGAGACCGAAGAAUGCCUCAGAGAUCAAAAGUUUCUUGGGAUUGGCAGGUUAUUAUAGACGCUUUGUGGAGGGGUUUUCCAAGAUUGUGUCAUCAUUGACAAAGUUGACACUCAAGAAUCAGAGGUUCAUAUGGCCAGACAAGUGUGAAGACAGUUUCCAGAAGUUGAAGAAGAGUUUGAUCAUCGCUCCAGUUCUGAGUCUUCCUACAGAUCAGGAUAAGUUUGUGGUUUAUUGUGACGCCUUGAGGCAUGUCCUAAGUUGUGUCCUUAUGCAGACAGGGAAGGUGAUUGCCUGUGCAUCAUGUCAGUUGAAGGAGUAUGAGCAGAGGUACCCCACACAUGAUUUAGAACUUGUAGCAGUAGUUUUUGUACUAAAGGUGUGGCGACACUACUUAUACGGUGAGAAAAAUGAGAUAUACAUUGACCAAAAGAGUUUAAAAUACUUCUUCACCUAGAAGGAUCUGAACAUAAGGCAAAUACAUUGGUUAGAACUGGUAAAGGAAUAUGAUUGUGAGAUUCUCUAUCACCCUGGGAAAGCCAAUGUGGUAGCAGAUACCUUAAGCCAGAAGGGUCCGGGACAGUUGUAUAGUGCCAGUCAGAUAUCCAGAGAGUUGGCUGAUGAUAUGACUAGAGUAGGAAUUGAGUUAGUGGUGGGCCACUUAGCCAACAUCACCAUGCAGUCUAAUUUUUUGGAGAGGAUUAAGGAGAAGUAGUUAGGUGACCCACAGUUGGGGAAGAUCAGAGGGGACGUCCUAGCUGGAGUAGCUAAGGACUAUACAGUGUCAAGAAUGGGCUUAUUGAGAUAAAAAGAUCGGAUCUGCGUUCCGAUAGACACUGGGAUCAGACGGGAGAUUCUGGAUGAAUCUCAUACUACCACAUAUUCUCUACAUCUAAGCAUCACGAAGAUGUAUCAGGAUCUAUACUUGUUAUAUUGGUGGCCUGUGAUGAAGAUGGACGUGACUAAGUACGUGGUAAGGUGCCCGACUUGUCAGUAGGUCAAGGCAGAGCAUCAGAGAUCAGCAGGGCUGUUGCAGCCUUUGGAUAUCCCAGAGUGGAAGUGGGAGGACAUCACGAUAGAUUUUGUGGUAAGGUUUCCCAGGACAGUGGGCCAACACGAUUCAGUCUGGGUCAUCGUGGAUCGGUAUACGAAAUUAGCUCACUUUCUACCAGUGAGGACGAAUUACAUGGUUGACCAGUAUGUAAAUCUCUAUGUGAGUGAGAUAGUUCACCUUCAUGGGACCAUAUCUUUACUUCCAAGUUUUGAGGAAGUUUACAGAGAGCGAUGGGUACACAACUGAAGUUUAGUACAACUUGUCAUCCCCAGACUGAUGGUCGAUCUGAGAGGACUAUCCAUAUAUUGGAGGACAUGAUGAGAACAUGUGUAUUGGACUUUGAAGGGUCCUGGAGUAAAUAUUUUCCCUUGAUAGAGUUUUCCUAUAACAACAGCUACCAGUUGACUAUUGGAGUGACACCUUAUGAGAUGUUGUAUGGUAGGAAGUGCAGAUCGCCCAUUCUUUGGGAUGAGAUGAGUGAGAGGAAAUAUUUGGGUCUUGAGGCGGUUCAGAGGACCACUGAGGCUAUUGAGAAGAUUAGAGCUCGGAUGCUUGCAUCUCAGAGCAGACAGAAGAGUUAUUCAGACCCAAAGCGGAGGAACAUGGAGUUCCAAGUGGGAGACUAUGUCUUCCUUAGGGUUUCACCACUAAGAGGGGUGAAGAGAUUCGAGAAGAAGGUCAAGUAGAGCCCUAGGUUUGUGAGGCCAUUUGAGAUCCUGGAAAGGAUCAGAAAGGUGGCCUAUAGGUUGGCCUUACCCUAUGCACUGUCUAGUGUGCACAAUGUAUUUCAUAUUUCCAUGCUUAGGAAGUAUGUAUCAAAUGAGACUCAUGUAUUGAGUUAUGAGGAUCUAGAACUGGAGGCAGAUUUGUCCUAUGAGGAGCAGCCAAUUCAGAUUUUAGACAGAAAGGACAAGGUCUUGAGGAACAAGACUAUACCUUUAGUUAAUGUAUUAUGGAGAAACAGCAAGGUCGAGGAAGCGACCUGGGAGCUGGAGGUAGAUAUGCAGGCUCAGUAUCCCAUGUUGUUCAAGUAAAAUUUUGAGGAUGAAAUUUCUGUAAAGAGGGGAUAGUAGUAACGUCCCGAAUUACCUAAUAAAAUGCCUUGAUUAGGGGGACAGGGUGACAAUGUAUGGAAUUAUAUGCUUAUAUGAGUUAUAUUUGUGUGUAAUUAUGUGAGUUAUAUGAUAAUAUGACUAGAUAUGCAUGUUUAUGUGUAUUAAAUAUGCAUGCGGGCUCGUUUCUUAUUAGAAGAGAAAUUUUUGUAAUUUGGUCCGUUAUGGGCAUAAUUGUAUAUAUGUGCAUAUUUGUGAUAUAUGUGAGAGACCACAUUAUUAAGUGGAUUUAUUUGAGUUACUUGGCACGAGACGAUCCUAGGGAGCGAGUUAGCGAGAAAGCCACAACGGGACCCAAUACCCGACUCAGGGCAAGUUAAGGGGUAUUGUGGGUAACUGAUACAUUAUCGGGUUAUCGGGUAACGAGAAUAGGUAUUCAAGGAUAUAUUUGGAGUUAGUGAGAUUAGGAGGGGAUGUCAGGGAUUUUGACCAUUUUUCCAUCGGGGACGUUUUUGAUACCCCGAGCCUCGGGAUUAGCUUAAGUGACUUAAGCCUUAAGGAAACAAAAAACAAACACACCAAACACUUUUAUCAGCUCACUCAACCGACUCUCUCCUUCUCUCUCCCUCAUUCUCGUUCAUUUUUCUAAGUGAAUUGCUUGAGGAAACCAAGGGAUUUUUGGCUGAAAACUUGGGAAUUGAAGGCCUGAACUUAAGGGAUUGGAUUUGUUGCUGCUAGGGGAAUUAAACUGCCAGUUGAGGUAAGCUUUAGACUUUGUUUUUCAUAGAAUUUCUGUUUAAGUUUGGAUGUUCUUGAGCUUUGAGGCACAAGGUUGUGAAUUUGAGUUUUGGGUAUAUUUUUGAGUGUGUUAAGCUGGGGUUUUGUUGUUGGUAUUAUUCUGAAUCAGUUCUGGGCAUUGAAUUGUGGUUAUAGGAUGAAUUCGGGGUGGUUUUGAUUGAGCUUUCCUGAAGAAAAGAACAGAGAAUUCUGGGUUCAUAGGGUCAGGUUGUGGCUCUGUUCUUGGGGUGUUGCAACCCAAUUGAACCUAGGGCCUUUGGGUGGCUUCUGUCUGGGAGGUGUGCCGCAACCCUCUAAGGCAGGUCGUGGCCCGUGUCCCGGUUCCAGGCAGGAAGGGGGCCUCUGACCUGGGAGGCGCGUUGUGGCUCGCCUGGGCUGUUUUGGCCACCGUAGGUCUUGAGUGAAUGGAACUUAAACUUAAGGGUUUAGGAUCGAUUCUACUACCCGAUUUAGUAUAAUUCGAGGUCCCGGAGGAUUGGCGCGAUCCGAAAGCCUUUAUUUUCUCAUUAUUGACGAAAUCCUAUAUUAUGGUUGUGAGUAGGUUAUCGUUAGGGGCUCGAAAUCGGGAUUGUGCUCGAGGGUCGUCCUCAUUUUACGCUAUACUCGGAUCUGAGGGCUUGGCUUAUUAGUCAAGGGCGGCAAUAGCGCGCUGCGCGCUGGUCGAAAGGCUUAGGCCCAAAUCAGCAACGUACUAUUACGCUGGCCAACCUUAUUGUCUUUGGAAAACAAAGUGUUUGGCUAUGGCUAGUUACUCAGAGCUAAGGGCGAGGGCCCCAAGUGACUCUAUGGUCACAUAGCUAGGGCAUAGAGCUCCGGUGUUGACUUUAUGGUCAACUAAUCAGGACAGCGGCCCCAGAAUGAUCCAACGAUCAUUUAUUUGUAAUUGUAUGCAUGCAAGAGGGGGUUAUCACUGCUGGGCAUGCUAGACAUGUAAGGGGAAAGGAAUGCUUGAGCAGCCAUGAGUUGGAGAGCUUUGGUGGCGGGGUGUACAUGUGCGACUGCUCGUCCACCAUGACCAAUGGUAUCUUAGGAGAAUUAGGGUUGUACCCCUUAUUUUGCCGCUUAGGUCGGCCGGUUGUAACUUUUGAUGUAUAUACACCAUUUAAACAGUUAUUUGUAAUAUUUUUGGAUCUCAUGUAUGUAUGAAACUUUUUAAAUGAA